rnacentral:rRNA from 1 species
GCGAGCGGAACCACAGAUUUACUUCGGUAAUGACGUUGGGAAAGCCAGCGGCGGAUGGGUGAGUAACACGUGGGGAACCUGCCCCUAAGUCUGGGAUACCAUUUGGAAACAGGUGCUAAUACCGGAUAAUAAAGCAGAUCGCAUGAUCAGCUUUUGAAAGGCGGCGUAAGCUGUCGCUAAGGGAUGGCCCCGCGGUGCAUUAGCUAGUUGGUAAGGUAACGGCUUACCAAGGCGACGAUGCAUAGCCGAGUUGAGAGACUGAUCGGCCACAUUGGGACUGAGACACGGCCCAAACUCCUACGGGAGGCAGCAGUAGGGAAUCUUCCACAAUGGACGCAAGUCUGAUGGAGCAACGCCGCGUGAGUGAAGAAGGUUUUCGGAUCGUAAAGCUCUGUUGUUGGUGAAGAAGGAUAGAGGUAGUAACUGGCCUUUAUUUGACGGUAAUCAACCAGAAAGUCACGGCUAACUACGUGCCAGCAGCCGCGGUAAUACGUAGGUGGCAAGCGUUGUCCGGAUUUAUUGGGCGUAAAGCGAGCGCAGGCGGAAAAAUAAGUCUAAUGUGAAAGCCCUCGGCUUAACCGAGGAACUGCAUCGGAAACUGUUUUUCUUGAGUGCAGAAGAGGAGAGUGGAACUCCAUGUGUAGCGGUGGAAUGCGUAGAUAUAUGGAAGAACACCAGUGGCGAAGGCAGCUCUCUGGUCUGCAACUGACGCUGAGGCUCGAAAGCAUGGGUAGCGAACAGGAUUAGAUACCCUGGUAGUCCAUGCCGUAAACGAUGAGUGCUAAGUGUUGGGAGGUUUCCGCCUCUCAGUGCUGCAGCUAACGCA